UACGGAACCCAUUGUCAUGAAUUCUGCUGCUUUGCAGGCUCAGAAGAAAAGCCACGUCUGCCUACACAAUCUCACGAUCUGGCUUCAGCAAAGCAUGAGUUAAUUCAACUUCAUACUCGUGAACGUGAAGCGGGGGUUGGAAGGAAUGAAGGCUGCAGGACACCCAUGUACCAAGAAAAAGAAAGACAAAUUGGUUGUUUUAUCUACUUUACAUCAUGACUGAGUCCUAAAAAGGGCCCCAUGAAGGCAGGCAGCCCAGGGAGGAACGACUGGACGAUGACAUUGUGCAGGGGGUCUGGAAGUUGCCAGCGCAGGGGUUAGCAGCUGCAGCCUGGCCUGGUCCUGUCUGCCCGGCUGUCAAACCCAGAAGACCGUGGUUUCUGGUGGCCUCUGUGUGACAGCGGAGGAGGUGGGGCGAGGCCUGGAAGUGAAGCAUCUCGUGAGCCACUUAAGUGUUUAUGAAGCUCGCUAAUGUGCUUAAAUGAAGGAGAAGCAGGCACUUGCUCCCAGGACCAGAGCCACCAAAGCAAUUUCCUCUGCAGCCCCUCGUACUUCGCACACUGCAAAGCUUGCAUUCUUUCCCAGAGGACAGCCGGAUUACAGCACCGCCUCUAAUGCAACCCGAUCCGGUUUCUUUGAGCGCCGCGGUGAACGUGCAAUCUAUCUCAUAAAUGCAUCGCAAUGUUCCACGAAUCACCCACGUUCAUCCCUUGAGACGUCUUUAACUCGGGGCUUAGAGUUGCAAAUGAAUUCUCCUAUGGAUCUAUUAUUCCAUCAAAUAGCGGAGAGAGGGGACUAGUUUGUGCAGAGCCUUCAUAGAGCUGGGCUAAAUUCGAUUAUGCAAAGUCUAACGAGCACCAUUCAGCAAAACCAUGGCGGGUGUGAGCUGCAGGCCAGCCCCUCCACUGGGCCAUUAUCCAGGGGUACACACCACUCGUGGGUUAGUUCCACGAGUUACUGGCUGAUUUGACCUGUGAUACUCCAAGGUGGAAGUAACCAAAUAAUAUGUAUCAUGAGCCCCAAGAACGAAGCCAGCGGAGAGUGGUACAUGCUAGAGGGUAACGCCUAGCCCUUUGCAGGACAGCAUGUCAGCCAUGCACCAUGGGACGAUGGUGGUGGCUGGGACACAAGAGGCCACUGCAGGAAAUGGGCAGGUAGGUGGGUCUAUGUAAGCUGGCUUUAGACUUAAAUCCACAAGCAUUUGCAGCUCAACUACUCAGCGUCUUAUCUUAUUUAAUCCUUUCAGCAAUAAACACUCUUUCCACAUGUAGUAAGGUUAAGGAGUCUACAUCAUACCCUUUAUCAUUAUUCAUAAAGGGAUACACCCUCCAGGGAUCCUAGGGAACCUCCUACCCACCCUGUGGUCACUCUAGGGAAAGGAAAGCUCUCAGGGACCGACGGGAACCUGGGCGCGUGCACCGCAGCUCUCUCCUUUAUCCCCUCUAGCCCGGCUUGCUGGCUCUCACUUUCUUUUGUGCACUAGAACUCACGUACAAGUUGCACACCCAAACCCUUGCAUGCUGCAUUUCAGAGUCAACUUCAGUGAUUUUUGAGAGUGAUUUUG
rnacentral:lncRNA from 1 species